UGUGGGAGCGAGCUUGCUCGCGAUGACGGAGUGUCAGGCGACAUUGAUGUUGAGUGUGCCGGCCUCAUCGCGAGCAAGCUCGCUCCCACA
rnacentral:ncRNA from 2 species